GACGGGGGGGGCAAGUGUUCUUCGGAAUGACUGGGCGUAAAGGGCACGUAGGCGGUGAAUCGGGUUGAAAGUGAAAGUCGCCAAAAAGUGGCGGAAUGCUCUCGAAACCAAUUCACUUGAGUGAGACAGAGGAGAGUGGAAUUUCGUGUGUAGGGGUGAAAUACGUAGAUAUCUGGAGGAACACCGGUGGCGAAGGCGGCGAUCUGGCCCAACAUUGACACUGAGACCCGAAAGCGUGGGGAUCAAACAGG
rnacentral:rRNA from 1 species